rnacentral:rRNA from 1 species
UUUUUUUAAGCAGUUUAUUUUAAUGGAAUAUAUAAAGUUAUAAUGAUAGAAUUAGUAGUAUUGAAUAUUUAAGUAUAGGAAUUCGGCAACUUUAAUCCUCGCCUGUUUAAGAAAAAUAUGUCUUAUAGAUUUUAAUUUUAAGUCUAAUCUGCCCGGUGAUUUAUUAAAUGGCCGCAUAUUUUGACUGUGCGAAGGUCGCGUAAUCAUUUGUCUCUUAAUUGGAGGCUUGUAUGAAUGAUUGGACGAGGAAUUGACUUUCUUUAUUUAAAUUUUAUGAAUUUGAUUUUUGAGUUAAAAAGCUUAAAUUUUUUUGCAAGACGAGAAGACCCUGUAGAGUUUUAUUUUUUGUUGUAUUUUUGUUAAUUGGUUGAUUAAUGAUAGGAGUAUAUUGAAGAAUUUUGUUGGGGCGACAGUGAAAUUUUAUUAACUUUCAUUUUUUAUUUUCAUUAAUUUAUGUAUUUUUUGAUCCUUUAUUAUGGAUUAUAAGAUUAAAUUACCUCAGGGAUAACAGCGUAAUUUUUUUGGAGAGUUCUUAUCGAUAAAAUAAGUUUG